GUGGACUUGAGCGAAUCGGGACGAAACCUGUGCCUCUGUUUUUCUAAGUGCCAAGUGUAAGGUAUCAAGUGCCAAGUGUAAAGUCUGUCCAGACGACUCGUCACAUUUGUGGAAAAGAUUACGGACCAAAUGACGCAUGGAAAAUAAACCCGGCUCGAGCCCAUGUACGCGACCGAAACAAAACAUAUUUUUUGGCGACGCCACCCUCGAAAACGCAUCGCCGCACGAAUGCACGAAUAGGUAGG